rnacentral:rRNA from 1 species
GACGUAGGGCGCGAGCGUUGUCCGGAUUUAUUGGGCGUAAAGAGCUCGUAGGCGGCUCGUUGCGUCGGCUGUGAAAACCCGCAGCUCAACUGUGGGCCUGCAGCCGAUACGGGCGGGCUGGAGUUCGGUAGGGGAGACUGGAAUUCCUGGUGUAGCGGUGAAAUGCGCAGAUAUCAGGAGGAACACCGGUGGCGAAGGCGGGUCUCUGGGCCGAUACUGACGCUGAGGAGCGAAAGCGUGGGGAGCGAACAGG